rnacentral:lncRNA from 1 species
GAAGGAAGGAAGGAAGCAAGGAAACUACAGACCAGUAUCUCUUGUGAACAUAGAUGCAAAACUCCUCAACAAAAUAGUAGCAAAUCAAAUCCAGUAAUGUAUAAAAAUAAUUACUCAAAAUGACCAAGCGGGAUUUAUUCCAGGUAUGUGAGGCUAGUUCAACAUUUGAAAAUCAAUUAAGAUAAUCAAUUACAUUGACAGGCUAACGAUGUAAAAUUGCAUUAUCAUACCAAUAAAAGCAGAAAAAGCAUGUGGCAAAGUCCAACCACCAUUUACAAUAAAAACUCUCAACAAACUAGGAAAUAAGAGAACUUCACAAGUUGAUAAAGAACAUUUACAAAAAUCAUACUUAAUGGUGAGAAACUGGAAGCUUUCCCACUAAGGUCAGGAACAAGGCAAUAAUGUCCUAACAACUCAUUUUCAAUGUUGUACCAAAAGUCCUAGCUAAUGUAGAAAAUCUGAAAGAAUCAACAAAAACAAACCAACAAAAACUCUUGGAACGAAUAAGCAUUACAGCAAGAUUGCAAGACACAACAUUAAUAUACAAAAGUCAAUUGCUAAGCUGGACGAAGUGGCUCAUGCCUGUAAUUCCUGCACUUUGAGAGGUCAAGGCAGGCGGAUCUAUUGAGUCCAGGAGUUUGAGAUUAGCCUUGGCAACCUCCCUGUAGGAAGACCUUAUCUCUAUUAAAAAAAGAAAAACUCAGCCGGGUGUGGUGAUUCACACCUGUAAUCCCAGCAUUUUGGGAGGCUGAGGCGGGUGGAUCACCUGAGGUCGGGAGUUCGAGACCAGCCUAACCAACAUGGAGAAACCCUGUCUCUACGAAAAAUACAAAAUUAGCCAAGGGUGGUGGCACAUGCCUGUAAUCCCAGCUACUCAGGAGGCUGAGGCAGGGGAAUUGC